rnacentral:rRNA from 1 species
UACGUAGGGUGCGAGCGUUAAUCGGAAUUACUGGGCGUAAAGUGUGCGCAGGCGGCCGAGCAAGUCGAGUGUGAAAGCCCCGAGCUUAACUUGGGAACUGCGCUCGAAACUACUUGGCUAGAGUGUGGCAGAGGGAGGUGGAAUUCCACGUGUAGCGGUGAAAUGCGUAGAGAUGUGGAGGAACACCGGUGGCGAAGGCGGCAUCCUGGACCGGGAUUGACACUGAGGCGCGAAAGCCAGGGGAGCAAACGGG